rnacentral:rRNA from 1 species
UACAGAGACUGCAAGCGUUAUUCGGAUUCACUGGGCGUAAAGGGCGCGUAGGUGGCUCGGCAAGCGUGCGGUGAAAGUUCGGGGCUCAACCCCGAAUCGGCCGUGCGAACUGCCAAGCUUGAGCACUGUAGAGGCAGAUGGAAUUCCGGGUGUAGCGGUGGAAUGCGUAGAGAUCCGGAAGAACACCGGUGGCGAAGGCGGUCUGGCUGGGCAGUUGCUGACACUGAGGCGCGACAGCGUGGGGAGCAAACAGGAUUGAG